rnacentral:rRNA from 1 species
AUGAACGCUGGCGGCGUGCUUAACACAUGCAAGUCGAGCGAGAAGUUUUGAAAAGAUUCUUCGGAUGAAAUUUAAAAUGGAAAGCGGCGGACGGGUGAGUAACGCGUAGGCAACCUGCCCCAUACAAAGGGAUAGCAUUUGGAAACGAAUAUUAAUACCUUAUGAAACUUAACUAGUGCAUGCUAGGUAGGUCAAAGAUUUAUCGGUAUGGGAUGGGCCUGCGUCUGAUUAGCUAGUUGGUGAGGUAACGGCUCACCAAGGCGACGAUCAGUAGCCGACCUGAGAGGGUGAACGGCCACAUUGGAACUGAGACACGGUCCAAACUCCUACGGGAGGCAGCAGUGGGGAAGAUUGCACAAUGGGGGAAACCCUGAUGCAGCAACGCCGCGUGAACGAUGAAGGCCUUUGGGUCGUAAAGUUCUGUUCUAGGUGAUGAAAACUGACAGUAACCUAGGAGAAAGCCCCGGCUAACUCCGUG